ensembl:misc_RNA Y_RNA Y RNA
GGCUGGUCCGCAUGCAGUGGCGCCUACAAUUAAUUGAUCACAGCCAGUUACAGAUUUCUUUGUUCCUUCUGCACUCCCACUGCUUCACUUGACUAGCCUUUU